rnacentral:rRNA from 1 species
AUUGAACGCUGGCGGCAUGCUUUACACAUGCAAGUCGAACGGUAACAGGCCGCAAGGUGCUGACGAGUGGCGCACGGGUGAGUAAUGCAUCGGAACGUGCCCAGUCGUGGGGGAUAACUACUCGAAAGAGUAGCUAAUACCGCAUACGAUCUAUGGAUGAAAGCGGGGGACCGUAAGGCCUCGCGCGAUUGGAGCGGCCGAUGUCAGAUUAGGUAGUUGGUGGGGUAAAGGCUCACCAAGCCAACGAUCUGUAGCUGGUCUGAGAGGACGACCAGCCACACUGGGACUGAGACACGGCCCAGACUCCUACGGGAGGCAGCAGUGGGGAAGUUUGGACAAUGGGCGCAAGCCUGAUCCAGCAAUGCCGCGUGCAGGAAGAAGGCCUUCGGGUUGUAAACUGCUUUUGUACGGAACGAAACGGCUCUGGUUAAUACCCGGGGCUAAUGACGGUACCGUAAGAAUAAGCACCGGCUAACUACGUG